GUAGGGAAUCUUGCGCAAUGGGCGAAAGCCUGACGCAGCCAUGCCGCGUGAAUGAUGAAGGUCUUAGGAUUGUAAAAUUCUUUCACCGGGGACGAUAAUGACGGUACCCGGAGAAGAAGCUCCGGCUAACUUCGUGCCAGCAGCCGCGGUAAUACGAAGGGGGCUAGCGUUGCUCGGAAUUACUGGGCGUAAAGGGCGCGUAGGCGGAUAUUUAAGUCGGGGGUGAAAGCCCGGGGCUCAACCUCGGAAUAGCCUUCGAUACUGGAUAUCUUGAGUACGGGAGAGGUGUGUGGAACUCCGAGUGUAGAGGUGAAAUUCGUAGAUAUUCGGAAGAACACCAGUGGCGAAGGCGACACACUGGCCCGUUACUGACGCUGAGGCGCGAAAGCGUGGGGAGCAAACAGGAUUAGAUACCCCAGUAGUCC
rnacentral:rRNA from 1 species